rnacentral:rRNA from 1 species
UACGAGGGGGGCGAGCGUUGUUCGGAAUUAUUGGGCGUAAAGGGUGCGUAGGCGGCCUGACAAGUCUGAUGUGAAAUCCCUGGGCUCAACCCAGGGCCUGCAUCGGAAACUGUCGGGCUUGAGUAUGGGAGAGGUGAGUGGAAUUUCCGGUGUAGCGGUGAAAUGCGUAGAUAUCGGAAGGAACACCUGUGGCGAAGGCGACUUACUGGACUGUAACUGACGCUGAGGCAUGAAAGCGUGGGGAGCAAACAGG